GCACUGGUGGUUCAGUGGUAGAAUACUUGCCUUGCAUGCAGGGGACCCAGGUUUGACUCCCGGACAUUGCA
rnacentral:tRNA from 1 species